rnacentral:piRNA from 1 species
UACAGGACAAGGGGCAUUGUUGCUUGUUGGG